ACCAGGAUGGCCGAGUGGUUAAGGCGUUGGACUUAAGAUCCAAUGGACGUAUGUCCACGUGGGUUCAAACCCCCACUCCUGGUU
rfam:Eurypyga helias contig54295, whole genome shotgun sequence.